rnacentral:rRNA from 1 species
GAUGAACGCUGGCGGCGUGCCUAAUACAUGCAAGUCGAGCGAACAGACGAGGAGCUUGCUCCUCUGACGUUAGCGGCGGACGGGUGAGUAACACGUGGAUAACCUACCUAUAAGACUGGGAUAACUUCGUGAAACCGGAGCUAAUACCGGAUAAUAUAUUGAACCGCAUGGUUCAAUAGUGAAAGACGGUUUUGCUGUCACUUAUAGAUGGAUCCGCGCCGCAUUAGCUAGUUGGUAAGGUAACGGCUUACCAAGGCAACGAUGCGUAGCCGACCUGAGAGGGUGAUCGGCCACACUGGAACUGAGACACGGUCCAGACUCCUACGGGAGGCAUCAGUAGGGAAUCUUCCGCAAUGGGCGAAAGCCUGACGGAGCAACGCCGCGUGAGUGAUGAAGGUCUUCGGAUCGUAAAACUCUGUUAUUAGGGAAGAACAAAUGUGUAAGUAACUAUGCACGUCUUGACGGUACCUAAUCAGAAAGCCACGGCUAACUACGUG